AUAGUGAGAUAGGCAUUGCAUCAUCACUAAAAAAUCUGGUGGAAGUAAAACAAAGGGAAGGCCACGACAUUGAUGAAUUUUAUGGGGUAUGCAUGGUUUUGAGUGAAGUUUUGGCCAAUCCUUCUAGAAAUUUAUCCCUUCUUGCAACUUGUAUUUGUUUCACCAGAUUUUUAGCAUGUUCCUAGCCUCUUUUUUUCUUCAAAUUCGUCCAUCCAUCUUGCUCAUAUCAUAAGUAAUCCAUUCCAAACUCAAAACUGCUCCAAAAUGCACCAAAAUGCACUUUCUUGCUACCUUAGCCCUUUGGACCUACAAACACACGAAAAUGGCUUAAAGUACUAAAAUAACUAAGAACUAAUAACGUAAAUGCAAGAAAACUAGUUAACUAAGUCGCAUAAAUAUGCGUCUAUCAAAUUCCCCCACACUUAGCUAUUGCUAGUCCUCGAGCAAAAUAAAAAAAAUAAAACAUAACCUAACCUUCCAACAUUUGCCUUAGGGAUUUCCAAUGCACAUGACAU
rnacentral:lncRNA from 1 species